AACUACAUUGUUUGAAAAAAAAAUAUUAUUUUUGAGAAAAUAUUGUAAAGAUUAUGUUACAAAAUAAGAAUUGACAAUUUAAAGUCCCUACCCCAUUUGCACUACAUGGGUUGAUUUGGUUUGCUUUCGUUUAUGUGAUUAUGUCAAAUCCUCGGGGGCUAUCUGCCUAUCCACUCUGCAUGGAAAAGAAUUUGAAUGAAAACAAAGAAUGUGUUUUUUUUUUUUAGGUUCUAGGUACACCAACGGAAGAAACGUGGGAUGGUGUGACGGAAUUCCCCAACUACAGACCUCAAAAAUUCGGUCACUAUCCACCCCAGACUCUAUCUGCCGCCUUCCCUCGGCUUACAGAAAUACCUCAAGCAGAGAAAUUAGCUCAAAGUUUUCUACAGUUGCAGCCCAGACAAAGGAUAUCAGCCACCGAAGCUUUGCAUCAUGUUUAUUUUAAAGAACUCCCGCCCAAAAUCUAUGACCUGCCAGAACAAGUGUCCAUUUAUACAGUGUCCGGUUGCAAGUUAAGUCAGGAGACCAAUAAUACUCAGACUGUGAUCAAGAUUAAGCAGUGACCAAUAUCAAAUUCCUUCGCAGUUGUUUAAGGGAGCAAGAGCGCUACAACCACCAAAGAAGAGGUAUUACUAUAGAACUUAAUCUUCCAUGAAGAGUGGAUAAUGUGCUCGGCAUAUCAAGGAAAUUUUUCCUUUUCUACAUUCCAAACAUUUUACAUUAUUCUGGGUCGAGGACUCGGAAAAACUGGAUCGUGUGAACUCGAAGAUAGAAUGCAAGCAAAUACUUUAUUUUUUCAUCAGAGUACGAUUCAUUUUACAGUUUAUUUAUUUCAUUAAUUCUAUUAAACGAACAAAAUCACGUGUGGGUUCUAUGUUGAACCAAUUUCAGUGUCUCACAAAAAAGGGAGGCUUUAAAGCGAAUCACUGAGUCACCGCAGGAUGCGAAGUUACAUUUUUAUCAGUAACAAACAUACUUUAGUUUUAUAUGGAUACAUGGACGUUAGAUGCAAGAAAACAUUAUGAACGCAAAAAAAAUGCAAUGCAUUACUUGAGCAUACAAAACAAAUGAAUCAUAUCUACAAAGCUAUUUAAAUUCAAUUUAACCUUUUAACUGUCAUGCCCGGUGUUCGAAAAUGUCACGCCCGAGUAUUUCUUGGGGUAAUUUUUUUUUUUUUUUUUUUUGAGUGCAUCGUAUUGUCAUACCCGAAUAUAUAUCGGGAGAUGUUUAUUUCGGCUACAUUUGGUUUUUCCAAUAAAAAAAUUUGACAAUUUGUGUACCCAAAUCAUCAAAAUAACUUGACAGUUAAAGGGUUAAUAGAUGACUAUUCCCACACCUCUUGAUUUUCCGGCGUAGAAACAGUUUUUGAAAGAACUUCAAAAAAGUUAGUUAAAGUUAAUUUUUUUGAAAUCUUAACAGAUAAAAAUUGAAAUAUUUAUGUUCUAUUGUAUACACUACUUUGCAUUAAUGGUCAGAUUACAUAUUAACAAGAUUCACUUUCUUGAUUUAAAAAUAUACUUUAAUGAAUUAAUAGCAAUUAUAUAUUUUUUAAUAAAUCUGAGUACACACAGCAAUAAAUAAGCAAAUAUUUUCCUUUUUUCUUUAUAUUAAAAAAAAACUUAUGUCCUUACAAUGUACAAAUUCGGAACUUUUCUGCAAUGCACUGAAUAUUUUUUUCACAUAGAAAACUAAGCAUUUUCUUUUUGUUUUUCCCGAUUAUUACUGCUAACUUAUUUAAUAUGAGUAAAUCAAAAUCUAAAGAUGACAAAUUACAAAAAUUAAAAAAAAUUUUUUGUUCGUGUAAAGAGUAAAGCAGCAAUUUGAAAGACAGAAUUGGCUAUUUUUCUUUACUUCCAUAUCGCACAUAUUCUUCUUAAUGAAAACAAGAGGGUCAGGAUAAUUAAAUUUUCCAACAUAACUAACCUGAGAAACAACACAGAAAAUCACACCUCGCUUUAAAACAUUUAAUCGAUUAAUCAGAUAUGAAGGGGAUCAUCACAUAUGCUUUGCUAUCCCAAUGAACGUAGCAGGCUAUAUACGUUUGUCGACGAGUAACAUUCGAGGCAUAUUGUUAACGCAGAAUGUGUUAAUUUUUACUCGUCUCAAUAAACAUCACUUAUUUUAAAAACAGUAUCGCUGUGGUAGUGACUGACAAUAAUUAUCUUUCUCAUAUUUGCUAAUUUGACUAUUAACACGUCGUCCAUUUUUAAAAUAUUCUGAAUCAAUUAUUCUCAAAUUAUUAAAACAAUUACUGAUUAUUAAAAGUAUUUCAUAGCACAAUAUUUCAAAAAUUAAUUACAUUUCAAAAUUAAAACGAUUACUUGUCACAGCAUAAGCCAUAUUUACGCAUCUAACGAAUCUAAAUGAGGCAAAAUUUUUUUUCACUGAAUUCAUUCAAAAAUUGAUUUACAGUUUCUUUACUGGCAUGUAACUGAACUUAACAUAUCGUUUUAUUAUUCUUACCUUUCGUAAAUUUUCCUUUCUGAAGAUAAAGAAAUAAAAAACUGCAAGAAAAGGAUUUUCAGGUCAAUUUUCCUGUAGUAUUUCCACAUCUCAUCUGCUAAGAGACUCUUGGUUUCUGGCUUCGCGAGUAUUAUAUUACAUCAAAGGGUUGUAGAACCCACCAGUUUCAAUCAGAAUGAAUUUUGUUUCAUCUCAUAGAUUAUCUUAUUAAGGGAUAAAAGCAGCGAUGUUAUGAUUUGACAACAUUUUCUUGCAAAGAUUUCCUGCCGUCACAUUAUCUGUAAGAAGUUAAAGAUACCAAUAUAGGACAAAACAGAUCAUAUGCAGAGUUUAAAUUUUCCUGGUGAUACAGAUACCACAAUGUUCAAUUCCCCACUGAUAGAAAUUUCUGGGUUGUCCUUGGUUUUGAAAUACAUUGUUUCAGCUACAAUAAAGGUGCAAAAUAUUUUUGACAGACGAAAGUGAUGAAUUUUCCAUCUUUUUUAACAAACUUUAUUUCUGUGUACUUUGAAAUUUUCUUACUCUUUUGAAAUCGUUAUGAAUUUCUUCUCCAUGCUGUAUGAGUUACCACUCAUUGUUUGAGGUUCUGCCGCAUAUGAAAGAGGAAAUUUCUUUGUUAAUUUGUGGAUGGUUGUCUCAACUUGUUUCCUGCACUUUUCUUUUCUUGAUUUUAUGCUCAUGAGAAAAUGAAUGUUUAGAUCCAUUUCCUUCGCAUCGUGCUUUGCGUUCACUUUGUUUUAUGACUCCUCAAAUAGUUGAGCUCGGUUUUUUUGCUUCAUAACCCACCUGCAAAUACCAUAUUUCCUACCUCAUUAAAUAAAUUGCAUAUCUGCUUAUUUAAGUCGAAUUGCUAUCAUUUCAUACACAUCCAGUUCAGGAGUCUAGUCAUAGUGGCAUAAUACUCUAAAAUCUAAAAAUUACAUUUUCAUUUAUUCCUUUAAUUUAAAAUAAGAGCAUUAAUGAUAAGCGACAAUAAACAAUUUGAAACACAGAAUUUUAAAUACCCAAACAGCAAUAAUCAAAAAUAAACAAUCUUCACUAAGAACAUUACCAUGUUAUCAUUUUGUAAAGGUUAUUUUUUCUCUCCUUUCUUGGACUUCACGAAAAGGUAAAGUGAUGCAAAAAUCCGUUAUACAAAUUUACAAGUGUUGAGAAAGCAGAAAUGUAAUUGCAUUUAUAUUACACAAAUAUGUAAUACAUGUAUGUUAAUGGAAAAAAUAUUACAGAAGAUAAUAUGCAAGUUAUUACAUAUUGUACUAAAAUGCUCAAUGCAUGUAGAUAACUAAAAUGAAAGUUAAAUGACAUGUGGAAAGUGUGUAAGGAAAUGAUAUGUAAAAUAACGAAAUGACAGCCGUGAUUACCAGACUCAAGUCCAUUGGAUUAUUGAUUGGACAGUUAUCGAGUCACAAUAUCAAAGAGAGUUGUGAUAUUAAGAGUGCCUCUAUCAUUUGCAAACAACUUGUAGGUAUUAAAAUAUUUAUCGAUCAGAUAAUAAAAUAUACAGGAAAUCAAUAAUUAUCAUUGCAACUACUGACGUAUCUUCGGCCAGGCUAACUUUCCUUUUGCAAUCACACUUAUAAAAAUUGGUUUUAUUAUUAAACUAUUUUAAUUGAGACCACACUGUAAAAUGUAUUCAUAAAAAAAUCUUUGCAAAAUUUUCAGUGCAAAGAAAUGCAUUGCAUAUUUUUUACUUCAGUUACUCUGAAGAACAUGAAAACUGAUUCAACAUGUAAUGAAUGAUCUCGGUGAAAUGAGUGUUAUUUUUUCUUGUGAAAAUGUGAUUUCAUUAUUUCAUGGCUGGAACUGUAAAGAAGGCCGUUCAUAUUGAGUGCAAUUACAGAGAAUGUGGCUUUUCAGCGAUGGAAUUUGUUUUUCAUACAUUUGUAAAGGCACAUUGCAUAGAAUAAAACUUUAUACACAAUC
rnacentral:lncRNA from 1 species